GCUGAUAUGGCCGAGUCGUUAAGGCGAGUGAUUUGAAUUCCGUUUCAACAUCACUUGGGCAUUGCCCGCGUAGGUUCAAAUCCUGCUGUCAGCG